GUGGAAGAUUAAGGUGGUUUUUGCUAUGCUGCUCUUGCAGUAUCUGUUGGAUUCUGAUAAUGCAACAGAAUAUAAAUUUAAAAAAUUUUAACAUACAUUCAACGAUUAAAAAUAAAAUUUAACAUUUAAACUAGUUUAUUGGAACACAAAAGUCCUAAGAACCCCUUGAUGAUUACAAUCAAAUAUCAAAAGCAAACAUA
rnacentral:lncRNA from 1 species